GGGCUUGUACUGGUUUCGACGGGGGCUAUGAAGCUGGUGAAGCUAUCCGCAUGCGAUGCGUUAAAUGGCAAACCUAAAUAUAAACGCUAACGACAACGAAUUAGCAUUUGCAGCUUAAUUAAAGCUGCUGUCGGCCCCGGAGCACCUGCACUCCGGAUCUCCGGCAUCAUUUGAUGCAGGAAACGACACGCGUUAAGCUUUGCGCGCGCGGGCGUAAUAUGAAGCUACUGAAGGCGUCAGGGUGUCUGUUUUCGGACGCUGGAGGGAAUGUCAAAUAACAGACUAUGAUAGUAGAAGAACAGGGGAUUGGUUUUCGGACAGGGGUUCGAUUCCCCUCAGGUCCA
rnacentral:tmRNA from 1 species